rnacentral:rRNA from 1 species
AACGAACGCUGGCGGCAUGCCUAACACAUGCAAGUCGAACGAAGGCUUCGGCCUUAGUGGCGCACGGGUGAGUAACGCGUGGGAAACUGCCUAUUGGUGGGGAAUAACGACGGGAAACUGUCGCUAAUACCGCAUAAGCCCUUCGGGGAAAGAUUUAUCGCCGAUAGAUGUGCCCGCGUCCGAUUAGCUAGUUGGUGAGGUAAUGGCUCACCAAGGCGACGAUCGGUAGCUGGUCUGAGAGGAUGAUCAGCCACACUGGGACUGAGACACGGCCCAGACUCCUACGGGAGGCAGCAGUGGGGAAUAUUGGACAAUGGGCGAAAGCCUGAUCCAGCAAUGCCGCGUGAGUGAUGAAGGCCUUAGGGUUGUAAAGCUCUUUCGGGUGGGACGAUGAUGACGGUACCACCAGAAGAAGCCCCGGCUAACUUCGUGCCAGCCGCCGCGGUAA